rnacentral:misc_RNA from 1 species
AAGUCGUAACAAGGUUUCCGUAGGUGAACCUGCGGAAGGAUCAUUCAUGGGAGGUGUACGCAUUUGAUGAAAGUCUAUGCGUAUGCCCUACCUUUCCCUCACCUGUGUUGUUGUUGACGUUGGCUGGUGUGUUUUUCUAAAACGAAACGCACCAGCAUGGUUACAUCAUCCAAAUAUCUCUCUCACACCCGAGACUGAUCAUAUCUAAAGCGUGGUUGCAUUCAUUUACAACUCGUUUUAAACAACAAUUGCAAAAACAACUGUUGGCAACGGAUCACUCGGCUCUCGU